GACGGACGCUGGCGGCGUGCUUAACACAUGCAAGUCGAACGGAAAGGCCCCAGCUUGCUGGGGUACUCGAGUGGCGAACGGGUGAGUAACACGUGGGUGAUCUGCCCUGCACUCUGGGAUAAGCCUGGGAAACUGGGUCUAAUACCGGAUAGGACCGUGCUUUAGUGUGUGCGGUGGAAAGUUUUUCGGUGCAGGAUGAGCCCGCGGCCUAUCAGCUUGUUGGUGGGGUAAUGGCCUACCAAGGCGGCGACGGGUGGCCGGCCUGAGAGGGUGUACGGCCACAUUGGGACUGAGACACGGCCCAGACUCCUACGGGAGGCAGCAGUGGGGAAUAUUGCACAAUGGGCGCAAGCCUGAUGCAGCGACGCCGCGUGGGGGAUGACGGCCUUCGGGUUGUAAACCCCUUUCGGCAGGGACGAAGCUUUUGUGACGGUACCUGCAUAAGAAGCACCGGCUAACUACGUA
rnacentral:rRNA from 1 species